rnacentral:rRNA from 1 species
CUUCAAAUCAGAUGGGACUACCCGCUGAACUUAAGCAUAUCAAUAAGCGGAGGAAAAGAAACUAACAAGGAUUCCCCUAGUAACUGCGAGUGAAGCGGGAAAAGCUCAAAUUUGAAAUCUGGCUGCUUUGCAGUCCGAGUUGUAAUUUCGAGAGGUGUUACCCGUGCUGGACCGUGCAUAAGUCUUCUGGAAAGGAGCAUCAUAGAGGGUGAAAAUCCCGUCUUUGGUACGGACUCCCAGUGCAUUGUGGUAUGCUCUCAACGAGUCGAGUUGUUUGGGAAUGCAGCUCAAAAUGGGUGGUAAAUUCCAUCUAAAGCUAAAUAUUGGCGAGAGACCGAUAGCGAACAAGUACCGUGAGGGAAAGAUGAAAAGAACUUUGGAAAGAGAGUUAAACAGUACGUGAAAUUGUUGAAAGGGAAACGCUUGAAGUCAGCCGCGUUGGUCUGGGAUCAGCCCCGCAAAUGCGAGGUGCAUUCCCUGAUCAACGGGCCAGCAUCAAUUCUGACCGGCGGAGAAAGUUCAAGGGAAUGUGGCAUCCUCGGAUGUGUUAUAGCCUUUGAUCGCAUACGCCGGUUGGGAUUGAGGAACUCAGCACGCCGUAUGGCAGGGUGUUCUGCACCACUUCCGUGCUUAGGAUGCUGGCA